CGGGUCACCUUGGCUUCAUGUUAAGUGUUUGCUGUGUAAAGAAACACUGCUGGUGCAGGUUUGCAUUUAGUAACUUUGUCUGGAUUUUUAUUUUUAAUCACUUAGGUUUAGAUUUUUGUUCAGGUUGGUAGAAAUUAAGGAAAUCUUUAAGGGUGAUUUGACUUUAUCUUUAAUGCCAUGCCCUGUUUGUGGUCACGGGUUAACUUUUGUGUGUUUCAUGACUAAAGAUUAUCAUUUCCAGAUGCAGAUAAAGCUUUGACCACACAGGCUGUCCUUGCAGCACUUCCUUUACUUAACUGUUUUGUCCACUGAAAAUCAGUUGCCAAGGCAAGUGGUUGGUUGUGUUUGUCUUUUUUUUGUUAGAGUGAUUUCCAUUUCCCACAGCGUGGCAGUCUGACCUCUGAACCCACACAGGAGGGGCUGGUGGAAUGCCACACCACAUGAGGCCUUGUGAAUUCUUGGAGAGAGUGAUCCGUGUUUUAUGUCCAGCUUAAGUGCUGUCAAACAGGCCGGAGCACACUCAAACACAGCUCACACACCAGCCUUUAUCUCUUUUACCUCGGGCAGCAGUAGUACUGUGGCCCCUCCCCUCCCUCACAGCCGCGGGACUUCCACAUGACUGCUCUUAUAUGCUGAGCGCUGUUGUAUUUGCACUGAAACACAUUCUUCAUUUCUGGGAAGCUACAUUCACCUCAGGCAGACUUUUUGUAAACUUGUUUGGAUGUGUGAAGUUGUUGGAAUUAUUUUAGGAAUAUUGUCUCCCUUUCAGUUAAUUUCCUUAUAUGUGUACUUUACAGCUUCUCUACUUAUCCAAGGAGCAAUUUGUUGAUGGUAUUUUUGCAUUGCUUCCAAACCCCAUCUCACCCAAACUGUAUGAGCCACAAGGUGUUUUAUGUGGAGGGGUUUGGACAUUAAAGUCACAUGACUGCAGAACGCUUUGCUCCUCUUUGUUGAACUGUACGUGCCAAAGCCUGAUAGAUUGUCCCUUCGUUUGCUUGGCCUCUGUUCCUGGAUCUGCUGCCAUUAUUCCACUCUGGAUAAGGUGGAUCCUCAUGCUCAGGCAAUGAAAUUGACACCCUGAGAACAUCAAAUUGUACCUGCCACACAUGUGUCACUACAGAGCAACAUCUGGAUUCAGCAUUUGACAGCCACUGCUGAAGGUGCACAUAGUUGCAAGUGCUGAAUGUUUUAGCUUUUUUGUCAUUCUUAUUAGUGUUAAUUGUACAAUAAAUAAUACAUUAUUGUAUUAUUUGGUUCAGUCUGUUACUCUUAUUGUUUUGGAUCAACUGUAACCCACAUAAUUUCCUUAGCUAUUAAAGUAUUCUGAUUUUAGAGGAGCACAACCUGUUUAACAUGGAAGAUUUUUGUUCUUCAUAACUGUCUUAACACGAUCAGUCUCUCUGUGCACUGACUGACCUGCCAGCUGACAGAUAUUUGCACUGUUUGUGCACAGACACUUGAGCUGCAGACAGUUUAUGGAGUUUGCUUCUCUCACCCACUUCAGCCCAGAUAUAAACACUUGUCAGUGGAAACAGUUUGGAACUUGUCAGGCUGAUUUGGAGAUGGAAAACAAAAGCCAUCAAUGGCAAAUAAAGGAUAAAAUGGCCAAUGAUCAUCUUGGAAAUGUUUUAAGAAAUCUGCCUUGAGAU